AGCUGAGUUUGAUCCUGGCUCAGGAUGAACGCUAGCGGCAGGCCUAAUACAUGCAAGUCGAACGGUGAUAGCAAUAUCAUAGUGGCGCACGGGUGCGUAACACGUAUGCAACCUACCUAUUAUUGGGGAUAGCCUUUGGAAACGGAGAUUAAUACCGCAUAAUACGAUUGACUGGCAUCGGUUGAUUGUUAAAGCUUUGGACGAUAAUAGAUGGGCAUGCGUACCAAUUAGUUAGUUGGUUAGGUAACGGCUGACCAAGACGAUGAUUGGUA
rnacentral:rRNA from 1 species